GUCGAGUCCACAGAGCAAGAGGCUUUAAGAGUUAAUGACUUCAGCCCAAGAAGGGAAGUGGAAUGUAAUUGCUGCCUUAUUCCUGUGCCUCCCUGGGCAUGAUCAUUUAGAGGAGGCUCACUUUCCUCAGGAUUGUUUACUCAAGUGGAUCUCCAGGGCUGCCAAUGGCAACAUUUCAGAAAAGCUGGCCUCAGGCAAUGUCUUUUAUUUUAUUUCCUGUUCCUACGCAGAAGCGUCCCACUUCCCCCACAGCUUCAUGUUUUCUUCUUAUUCCCGUGGGGAGCUUAUUGAUUCUUUCAGGCUCUAAAGCAAAGUUCUGUCCAUCCAGUCCUCAUUCUGUGACCUGAGACCUAAAAAUGAAUCAAUGAACCAGAAUGGCAACUCUAUCAAACAGGAUGCUCAACUGAAUCUUUAUUAUUAAUAUCUCCAGUGUACUUGGCUUAAAGAUACAUUUCUGCAUGUGGGCUAACCUAGCAUCUGUGUGGCCACAAAAGGCAAAGGAUCUUUUUACUGAAUCAUUCUUAUAUUCAAUGGGAAAUUGUUGGCCAUCAACUACAUGAGGCUCUGAGCCAAAAGCCACGGAGAGAGCAGAGAAGGUCACGGUUCCUGACCUCCCAGAGCUCAUAAUCCAGCAGGACGUGCAUGUAACUCUCAAGAAUCUUGCUGAAUGGAAACUUACCUGCCCCCUAACACAAGUACCUCAUUGGCCAAGGGACAACUCCUUAGAACUCAAUGUAAGC
rnacentral:lncRNA from 10 species